CAGGAGGGUGACUCGGUUUCCCUCCGUACGCAGCUCUGUCAUCCUAAAGCACAUCCCUCUCUCCUCCUUAACAAGCAGGCAGGGAAGGUUAGCGGCUCUGGACCGGCUGGGCCCAGUCUGUUUACAGUGACAGGCAGCGUGCUUAGACGCGGUUCCCAUCCGUGUGGCUAUGGGAAGCAGGUCUCUCUCAUCCCUUCCUGGAAGGUAACAGCUCUGGCAUCUGAAGUGUCAGAAAAGAGCCUUUAGCCAUAAAUCAUUCUGAAAAGCAUUCGAAUCAGACAAGCGUCUAGAGACCCCUUAGACACUCCACCCCUCAAAUCAUAGAUCAAACAGCAGUUCCUAGAACCAUAAACACCUAUUAUAUGCAAAAUCACACUCAUCCGCAUGAGGAAUAAGGGGCGUUUGUCAGUGUAGGGACACCCCCCCCCCCCCGCACAGAUCCACAAACUCUCUUAGCAUCGUCGAAUGUCUUUUUGGAGGCCGAGGGUCCCCGCGCUUCGACAGCUGGCUCCAGCGUUUAGCAGGCGGACUGGACAUUCGCUUUCGCCUGGUUUUUCAACCAGGAGAAGCAAGUGCGAGAGCGCGGGGCUUGGGAAGUGGGAAGCGGGAGCGAGAAUCCACUCGGUCCUAUAGUAGAGGACAGCGGCCGCGCCUGAGACUCUACACUAGGGCGGCAACGCCUAGUGCAAAGCUCCGAUCGUCUGAGACUCGGAGACGAGAAAACCUGGAGCCCAGCGCGCCCGCCCAGCCCACCGCGGCUCUUGCCGAGCCGAACGCCCUGCGCCGCGUUACGUUUGCACCGCGCACUUUGCAAAUCUGCGGGUCCUCUCGGGGUGAAGAGCUGGAGCUGCACCGCGUCGUUAAGAGAGGACCCAGAGGCGAGAGGUCUUCGAUUUUGAGACAGCAACUUUCUCGCCCCAGGAAUGAAAGCGCGCCAGCUCUUUCCCUGUUGCUUCCUCGGUCAACCCAGAGCCCCCCUUGGUCUGGAAGUCUCCUCAAAUCCAGAACGGGGACGGCCGGGCGGGGGCGCGAGGCGGAGGCUGGGGAGGGGAGCGGCGGGAUGGAGGGCGGGCAGAACCUGGAGAGGGGCCCCCAACUCCGCCAGCUGCGAGCCGCGCUAGCCCCGCGGACCGAGGGCGGGGGCGCUGGGCACCGCUCUGGGGCCUGCGGACUCCGGGGUCGAGAUUACUCGACACGUGUCUUUUACUCCUCACAAUCCAUUUCUUACCCGUGAUUUAUGAGCGGACCUCUUUGAUCAGGCACGGUUUUAUCUGUCCACUGCUACGGAUGACAGAUGCGGCUGCUAAAAUACCUCAUCCCCGCUGCCUGGCCCCCUCCCAGAUGCUGUCGCUUUAUCUCGGGCGAUCUCCACCCCCAGCCCGUACGCUCGCCUCCCCUGGCCCCAGCUCCGUUUGUUAUCUCGGUUGCUGUUCUUCCGGGUGGUUUAAAUCAACAAGAAGUGCUGGACAGGGUCAAUAGGGAACCAAAGCACGCGGAGUUCGGUGCGCCUGCUGCCUGGUUUCACAUUUGUUGGAGUUCUAAGAAUCCCCCUGCUCCGGACCGGGAGAGCUGGCUCCCCGGGUGCGGGUGCGGGCGUCCCUCUUCGGAAGGGGGAAGGCGAGGCCGGCGCAGCCCAGUCCCCGCGGGCCCGGCGUCCUAAGGAGAAGGCGGGCGGGGAGCCGGAAGCUGGGGCUGCCUGAGCCCAGGGCUCCUCAGAAGGAGCAUUACAGUUUAACUGGGGAGACACUGAAGCGGCAGGAAAGGGGAGAGGGAGGAGAUCACAUUACGGACCCUCCUAGUGCCUAAUAGCCAGAGGACAUUUAAUAGCUGACGGGAUUAAACAUCGCAGACUCCAGCCUGGGCUAUUUGAAAAUCCGGGUCGUGGACUGUGCCUAACAUCAGAGGAGGAAAACUGAUCUAUGAGAUGUGUUUUAAGUUUCACUCAGUCAGGCCAGGAAAGAAGGAAGAGGAAGGAUUCUCCACUCCUGGUCUCUUUUACAGGUUAUGAAGUUAGAAGUUUUAAAGGCUGUGUGUUGAUGAGGGGUAGCAAGAGAAGUCAGGAGUGGAAUGAGGUGAGAGACAACCUUUGCAAGAGGUUAAAAGAAAUUUCCUUCUGUCAUAACGUGAAAGCUGGAUUUAUAAGAACAUUUUAAAGAAUACCGUU
ensembl:lncRNA